CACCUACGGGAGGCUGCAGUGGGGAAUAUUGGACAAUGGGCGCAAGCCUGAUCCAGCCAUGCCGCGUGGGUGAAGAAGGCCUUCGGGUUGUAAAGCCCUUUUGUUGGGAAAGAAAAGCAGCCGGUUAAUACCCGGUUGUUCUGACGGUACCCAAAGAAUAAGCACCGGCUAACUUCGUGCCAGCAGCCGCGGUAAUACGAAGGGUGCAAGCGUUACUCGGAAUUACUGGGCGUAAAGCGUGCGUAGGUGGUUCGUUAAGUCUGAUGUGAAAGCCCUGGGCUCAACCUGGGAAUUGCAUUGGAUACUGGCGGGCUAGAGUACGGUAGGGGGUAGUGGAAUUCCUGGUGUAGCAGUGAAAUGCGUAGAGAUCAGGAGGAACAUCCGUGGCGAAGGCGACUACCUGGACCAGUACUGACACUGAGGCACGAAAGCGUGGGGAGCAAACAGGAUUAGAUACCCUGGUAGUCCACGCCCUAAACGAUGCGAACUGGAUGUUGGGUUCAACUAGGAACUCAGUAUCGAAGCUAACGCGUUAA
rnacentral:rRNA from 1 species